rnacentral:tRNA from 1 species
CGCGCCGCCGAGCGGUGGCUCGCGACGCACGGCUCGGUCGUCGCCGCGGUGAGCCCGCACGAGGAGCGCCUCGCGCGGUCGCUGGGCGCGCGGCACGUC